UUCUUAUGAUCCAGGUCUGGUAUGCAUCCCCCUCCCCUCAUGGGAAAAAACUGGCCUGAGCUGCUCCUCACCCUUAAGGAACAAAAAGAAAAUAAAACACCGUGUUCACCGUGUAAUCAAAUAUCCUGCAACAUCUGAUUGGAGGUGCUACCUAGAAGCGACUGGAUCUCAGGGAUCCUGACUCCAUCAGUGGACAAAUCUAUUGACGAGUACACACCUGACUGGGAUGCUAGCAGCAGUAUCAAAGUGGAGGAAGUCACUGGGGACAAAGCUUUGAAGGGCAUACCUUGUCUGAUAAAAGCAGUUGAAAGAA